CGGGCGGGCGGUGCAUUGUGCGCGGCGGCGGGGCCGGGCCGGGGCAAUGGAGCGCUGGACCGGGCGCGUCGCGCUGGUCACCGGUGCCUCCGUCGGUAUCGGCGCGGCUGUGGCGAGGGCGCUGGUGCAGCACGGCAUGAAGGUGGUGGGGUGCGCUCGCAGCGUCGACAAGAUCGAGAAACUAGCAGCUGAAUGCCAGAGUGCUGGCUACCCUGGAACCCUCAUCCCAUACAAGUGUGAUCUCUCCAACGAAGAGGAGAUCCUGUCAAUGUUCUCUGCCAUCAAGACCCUUCACCAAGGAGUUGAUGUGUGCAUCAACAACGCAGGGCUGGCUCGCCCAGAGCCCCUGCUCUCGGGGAAGACGGAGGGCUGGCGAACAAUGAUAGAUGUCAAUGUGAUGGCUGUAAGCAUCUGCACCCGAGAGGCCUACCAGUCCAUGAAAGAGAGAAACAUUGAUGAUGGGCAUAUUAUUAACAUUAACAGCAUGAAUGGCCACAGUGUUGUGCCACAGUCGGUGGUGCAUUUCUACAGUGCCACCAAAUACGCAGUUACAGCCCUCACGGAGGGGCUGAGGCAAGAACUCAGAGAAGCAAAGACUCAUAUACGAGCUACAGAUAUGCUCUGCUUUUUUCCAGUGUAUCUCCCCAGGACUGGUGGAAACAGGAUUUGCUUUUAAACUUCAUGACAAUGACCCUGAGAGAGCUGCUGCAACCUACGAGAGCAUUCGGUGUCUCAAAGCUGAAGAUAUGGCUAAUGCUGUCAUAUAUGUCCUCAGUGCCCCACCUCAUGUACAGAUUGGAGAUAUACAGAUGAGGCCCACAGAACAGAUAUCAUAGCAGAUGAAGAGGACUGUGAGCAGCACCGUGUAUCCACUCCACUUCGAACCCUCUGGCAAUUCAGGGUUCCAUCAGCUGGCUGGCAACGUUUUAAUCAAGUACCAAGGAUCGUGUUUGAAGAAUUGUUUUUCUCUCCCUCUCUCUGAGUUGGUGCUGGUGCUGAGCCAGUGUGUGAAAAACCAGUAGUGGGUCUCUUUGUGCCCCACUCCUUUCUGACACUGUUUUAAGAGUAAAAUGUGUUUGCAAAUAAUGCAGGGAAGUGGUUUGUGGAAGAUUGUUGUCUCCGGGCUGGUUUAUUCUUCUUUUUGCUUUCUUUAUAAGGUUUGUUUGGUGUUAUUUGCUGAUGUGUCUGGACACAGGGGAAGUGGCACAAGGUGUUUGCCAGCUUCAGUGUGCUUAGGGUUUGAGAUGUGAUACAUGAAUCCAUCUAAUUUUGGGGUUUAUUUUUUUCAUCAUAUUAAUUACUGAUGGUAAUGAUGCAUGUGAUAUUUUCUACUUCUUACCCCACUGCCCUAAACCCAAUGUACAAUCUCACCCACCUCCCCAAGCCCUCCUUUCCCAUUCACAUGGAUUAUGCCUGCUGAGUCUGAGGAAGUAUAAAUGUGUGUGCUUGCUAUUUCUCUCUCUUUCUAGGUAGGUAGGUAAAUAGCUGGAGGACGAGCACCUGUGCUUCUGCAGGUUAGAAUGAUAAUCUAAGUGGUAUAGUUACAGUAAGAGUGAGUUGUUUGGUAAUUUAAAUAAACACUAAAUGUGUGCUGUCUUGUGA